CCUACGGGUGGCUGCAGUGGGGAAUAUUGGACAAUGGGCGAAAGCCUGAUCCAGCCAUGCCGCGUGUGUGAAGAAGGCCUUCGGGUUGUAAAGCACUUUCAGUGGGGAAGAAAGCCUUGGGGCUAAUACCCUCGAGGAAGGACAUCACCCACAGAAGAAGCACCGGCUAACUCCGUGCCAGCAGCCGCGGUAAUACGGAGGGUGCGAGCGUUAAUCGGAAUUACUGGGCGUAAAGCGCGCGUAGGCGGUCUGAUAAGCCGGUUGUGAAAGCCCCGGGCUCAACCUGGGAACGGCAUCCGGAACUGUCAGGCUAGAGUUCAGGAGAGGAAGGUAGAAUUCCCGGUGUAGCGGUGAAAUGCGUAGAGAUCGGGAGGAAUACCAGUGGCGAAGGCGGCCUUCUGGACUGUCACUGACGCUGAGGUGCGAAAGCGUGGGUAGCAAACAGGAUUAGAUACCCGAGUAGUC
rnacentral:rRNA from 1 species